GACCUAAUAUCAAAUGGACAGGCCCUUAGAGAGAAAUUCUGGCAUGCCGCAUAUGAAAGAGAGAGAUGGAGCUAGAUGAGUCAAUGUCAAAAUCAUAUGAUCAAAACAUUGAACUCACAUUCAGAAAAUCGCUAAUUUUUCUCUCAUUCUGAAUUGAACACAUAGUUAAUUCGAUUGAUUCGAUUUGUAAAAGUGUUGAACAUUCUAAUUAAAGGAAUUAGCGGUAAGUAUUCCGUGAAAUCUUUAUCGGAUUUCAAUAAGUUCAUGAAACUUAUUGAAAGGCCGAUUUCAUCUUGAAAAUUAAUCGAAAGCUCAUGUUUUUCUAGAAUCCAUCUGCUAUUACGAAAUUAAGCACCAAAAGAACUAAUUUUCAAAUAAUAUGCCUCACACUCGUGCAGCCUUCAAUUGUACAGCGAGAAUAGAAAAAAGCCAAAAGUUGAAAUUUCAUUCUUCACAGUUUUCCAAAGGAUGACAAAUUGAGGGAACAGUGGAUGAAAGCUGAAGAAGAAUUGAUUUCAACCCUUUUUUCUUGUUGAAAAUAUGCAGCAACCGUUUUCAUCAACAUGAUUUAUUAAUAUUCAUGGUACAAAAACUCUGAAAAAAGAUGUUAUUCCUUCAGUUUUCAGUUUCUCCAAUUAUAUGCCUGAGAGAUUAAAUUAUGGAGAUAAAUGUCUUGAAGAUAAUAUUGAAGAAAUUGAACAGGACCAGCAAGAGAUGGGGCAACCAGAGACGGUACAACUGUUUAUAAUAUCAAAAUCCUCUGCUGCUGCCAUGGAAGAUUUUCCCCCCAGAUUGAAUACUAAUAUUAGAAAUACUAGAAAUUAGAAACCUGGGAAUGAGGAUUUCCAAGAAUGGAACACUAGACGAAGUAAUAUCUGAGAGAAACAUCCAAAGAAAACCAAUAAUCUCAAUGUUAAAUAGGAUAUUAUCGAUUAAAAACAUAAAUGUGAAUAAUAAGAAAAAAUUUACUCAAUAGUUAGGAACAUAAUAACAUACAGCUCUGAAGUGGACAGCAGCUAGAAAAUCUGAAAGGGACAUGAUACCAAAUGAUACAAUAAGACAUAGAAUGGAAAUAAGACAUGAUAUUAUUGAUCUUAAGAACACAACAGUUGGUUUGGUACAGACAAGUCCAUAAAUACUUAUGAUACUAGGUGUGAUUUAAACAAUAAUAAUUUUUUUAGAUUGCCAUACUAAAUGAGGAACAUAUUCUGUGCCGUGGCUUAAAAAUUCAUCUUUAGAGAAGCCCAUUCACUGAAAGGCUGAAAAUGGGAAAAAUGAAUGUAUCAUAACUGAUCCUUGGAGAGAUAAGGAGAAGAAGACCCAUAAAUUUCAAGAUUUGGAGGAGUUUAGAACUAAGAAGAGGUAGAGCUUAAUCCUGAUAUUUUUCAAUAUCAUGGAUAUUAAAUGAUUGGGAGAGUGAAUAUCCUCCUUAGUGGAGUGAGAAAUCCGACUGCGAAUAUGUUCUUCCUCAUGCGCUGAUAGGCUAGAGUCGGACCAUUUUUCAAAUCAUUUAUUGUAAUAAUGUAUUUUGAACAGCAAUAAAAACUUAAUGAAUACAAUU